UACGGAGGGUGCAAGCGUUAUCCGGAUUCACUGGGUUUAAAGGGUGCGUAGGAGGGCAGGUAAGUCAGUGGUGAAAUCCCCGAGCUUAACUUGGGAACUGCCGUUGAUACUAUCUGUCUUGAAUAUUGUGGAGGUAAGCGGGAAUAUGUCAUGUAGCGGUGAAAUGCUUAGAUAUGACAUAGAACACCAAUUGCGAAGGCAGCUUGCUACACAACUAUUGACUCUGAUGCACGAAAGCGUGGGGAUCAAACAGG
rnacentral:rRNA from 1 species